GCCGCCGAGCAGGGGCUGGGCGGGCCGCCGGGGGCGCGGGGAGCGGCUGGCGGCGGCAGCGGAGCCAGGCGAGCCCCCACCCCCCGGGAUCGGGCUGCGGCAGCUCCUGUGGCUGGAGGGGCAGCCCCCGCGGCGAACAGGAGCCCCCAGCUGCUGCUGCCGCCGCCGCCGCCGCCGCCGCCUUGCCCCUCUCAGCAGCAACAAUGACCAGACUCGGCUGCGGCGGGAGGCGGCAGCUCUCUUCGCUUCCCGGGGCUACACAAACGCUCGGAGGGUCCCAGGAGCGAGAGGCUGGUGGCCUAAAAGAGCCCCCCUAGAAACAGAUCGAUAGUUGCUGGCGGUCAGGUUCCACAUGGUCAUGGGAGCCACCUAAUAGCGUAGCGGGGAAAUGACCUGCCUAGCAAGCCAGAGGUUGCCGGUCUGUUUCCCAGACUCUGGGCAACACCUAUAUCGGGCAGCAGCGAUAUAGGAAGAUGCGGAAAGGCAUCAUCAUCUCAUACUGCACAGGAGGCGGCCAUGGCCAACCCCUCCUGUAUUCCACCAAAGACAACCACAGGGCUGUGUGGGUGCCAGGAGUCGACACCAACUUGACGGCACACUUUACCUUACCAUAUGGUCAUAAAAGAAACCUGAAUAAAACCAGUAUUACUGCGUCGAGAACCUUUCUGGAUCCAUACACUUAAAACCUGGACCCCAUUUGGAUUAAAUGAGGAGGUCAACUGGAUACAGAUGUAGACUUCUGACCAUUGUUACAGAAUUUUUGGGAGGUAUUAUUUUUAUGGAGAUAUAUAACAAUUCAGUAAUUUGCAAAUUUCAUGGAGCAUUGGAUCCCGAUUUACGAACAUAGGAAGCUGCCAUAGAUUGAGUCAGGCCCAUGGUCCAUCUUGCUCAGGAUUGUCUACCCAGACUGGCAGCGGCUUCUCCAAGGUUGCAGGCAGGAAUCUCUCUCAGCCCUAUCUUGGAGAUGCUGCCAGGGAGGGAACGUGGAACCGAGAUGCUCUUCCCAGAGUGGGUCCAAUCCCUAAGGGGAAUAUCUUAACAGUGCUCACACUUCUAGUCUCCCUUUCAUAUGCAACCAGGACAGAUCCUGCUUAGCUUAAGGGGACAAGCCAUGCUUGCUGCCACAAGACCAGUUCUCUUCCCUUAGCUUUAGCUAAAUUAGGGAUUCAUAAGGUUUAUGAACUGGCCUCUCUAUAUAUAGGCAGAUGUAGAUGUAUAGAGUUUGUAUGACACCAUCUAUGAACCAGUUAUAUUGACUUCCCUUGGGAAUAAUAUAUUUGAGACUGUAGCAUCUCAUUGGCACUAAGUUUUUAAGUAGUUUCAGAAUUAGGUGUGAUUGAGUGCUAUAGGUUUUGCAAGUUACAGGUGGUCAUACCACCAGAGAUACUUUCAGAGUAUAUAAUAAACCCAAAGCAUUGCUAGAAGAGACAGCACUGAGAGAGGAUCUUCACAGCAACAGGACUGGCUUGAAGAAGAUUACAUGCUGAAUGUCUAGCGAGUAUGUUUAUACACUUUUAUACACCUUUGAAAUUUAGUUAACACAUUAUUUGAAUCUUGUCAGCUAGUUACUAUUGUUUUCUAUAAUUGUUGGAGGAAUAUAUUAAUAGAAAUUGGAGGCGGAUAUAUCGCUCCCAGUUGAGAGGGAAAUCACAUUAGUCAAUUGCAACAUGGCUUGGUAUACUGUAUUUUUAUAUUACGUGGAGCCACCAUAUAGCAAUGCAAGGAGCAUGAUUCAGCCAUGGAUGAAGACUGUGCACUGACCAAAACACAGCUGGCUGAAGACAUCUGCCUGUGAAGGUCUCUCCUUGUGCUGCACUAGACCAUGGGAGUAGAACCCACUGAUGGAAUCGUUUAUUCCAUACCUCAGAUACAGAAGUUUUCCUCCCUUGAGGCUUAGGACUCCCAUUGGAGCAUUCCCUUAGGGACUUUUCAAUAUAUAUUUAUAGAUCUUUCUACAUACUUGGUUUGGCUUUUAUCUCUACCAUGAAGGUGUGUGUGUGUGUGUGUGUGUGUAUUCUGUUUGGAUCAAUAUUGGUUUUAUUCAGGUUACUUUUAUGGCCAUAUAGUACCUAUUUUACAAAGUGAGAAUAUUGUGGAUAUACAUUUAAACUAAUAUAAAGACACAGAAUAAGAACAUAAAAUAAGAACAGCCCUGCUGGAUCAGGCCCAGGGCCCAUCUAGUCCAGCAUCCUGUUUCACACAGUGGCCCACCAGAUGCCUCUGAGAAGCCCACAGGCAGGAGUUGAGGGCAAGCCCUCCCUCCUGCUGUUACUCCCCUGCAAGUGGUACUCAGAGGCAUCCUGCCUUGGAGGCUGGAGGUGGCCUAUAGCCCUCCCACUAGUAGCCAUUGAUAGACCUCUCCAGGAAGAUAGAACUAGAAAUAUAUAUAUGGAUGGCUCCUUUUGUUCACCACACUCUUCACUUCAUCAGCACAGAGGUGGCUACUUUGGGUCCUCCCUCCCUCCCACCCCAGUCCUCUGCCCCAUUGACUGGUGGCCCUCCUCCGCAAGGGACAGGUCUCUUUGGGGGGAUAUAUCUUUCCUGCAGCAGAGGCGCUCUGAGCCUCCUCCCCACACCCCCUGGGGCACCCCAAAUCCUCUCUAGUAUGUCCUGGGUAAGCUGGUUGCCACUGGCCUGCACUGUGCCAGGCAACCGAGUGUGUUUGACUUGUGCCGGGUGCUUUAGAGAUGGAAUGGAGAAAGAAAUAUGUGGGCUGGGAAUAUAACAACGGCCCUGCUGGAUCAGGCCCAAGGAAACCCAUCUAGUCCGGCAUCCUGUUUCACACAGUAGCCUACCAGAUGCCGCUGGAAGCCACAGGCAGGAGUUUGAGGGCAUGCCCUCUCUCCUGCUGUUGCUCCCCUGCAACUGGUACUCAGAGGCAUCCUACCUUUGAGGCUGGAGGUGGCCUGUAGCCCUCCGACUAGUAGCCGUUGAGAGUCCUCUCCUUCAUGAAGUGACCCAAACCCCUCUUAAAGCCAUCCAGGUUGUUGGCGGUCACCACAUCUCAUGGCAGAGAAUUCCACAAGUUUAUUAUGUGUUGUGUGAAAAAGUACUUCUGUUUGUUGGUCCUAGAUUUACUGGCAACCAAUUUCAUGGGAUGACCCCUGGUUCUAGUGUUAUGAGAGAUGGAGAAAAACACUAGAACCAGAGGUCAUCCUGGUUCAACAUUAAGUAAUAUGUUAAGUUGUAUGUUGAAAUGUUUCUGCUAAUGCAUAUUUGCAUAAAUAUACCUGUUCUAUAUCCUUA